rnacentral:rRNA from 1 species
UACAGAGGUGGCAAGCGUUGUUCGGAAUUACUGGGCGUAAAGGGCGCGUAGGCGGCCAUCUAAGUCAGACGUGAAAUCCCCCGGCUUAACCUGGGAACUGCGUCUGAUACUGGAAGGCUUGAGUAUGGGAGAGGGAUGUAGAAUUCCAGGUGUAGCGGUGAAAUGCGUAGAUAUCUGGAGGAAUACCGGUGGCGAAGGCGGCACCCUGGACCAUUACUGACGCUGAGGCGCGAAAGCUAGGGAGCAACGGG